CCCCCCACCAAGCCUCUGCCUCCCGACCCCCCCACCCCCACCAAACAGCUGCUGGUGACUCGACCAGCUCCGCCCAACAAGCCCCUCCCCCCUGACCCCGUCACACCUGCUCAGGUUUCUGUUCCACUGAAACCUGUGGUGCCCAAGAAGCCACGCCCCCCAGCCACGCCCCAUAAACCUUACCUGCCACCUCACUCGGGCCUCCUGCCGCCCGCCGGCUUCACCUCCAGCAGCAAACCUGCCGCGCACGGAGCCGUCGCACCUGCAGCGGGUCCAUACAGGUAUGACCAUUCACU